rnacentral:lncRNA from 1 species
AAGGGGACUGAUAAACUGCCUUGUGUGGGUGUCAUGAACAGCCAGCUUGGAGAAGAGGAGCUAAUAGAUGUUGAGAGGGGAAAAAUGGGCAAGGAGGAACUGGCAAACUGUGAAAAGAAAUGUGAAAAAUACAGGUCUGGGAGAACAAAAUAGGUCGAUAGAAUAAAGUUGUACAAGGUUGGAUGUAAGGUCCCUACAUAGACAUUAACAACCCUUCAGAAACUCAGUGUUCUCUGGGACAGUAGGGAAUUUUUUUUUCAUCUGAAGUUGAUAAGUAGCUGACUAAUCUUUUUUGUUGUUGUUGUUUGAUUGUUUGUUGUUUUCCUUCUGGUUUAGGACUAAUAGUAGUGAAGCUCAAGAGGAAAAUAUUUUGAUCAAGUGACCAGUCUAUUAGCUGCAAUGCAAGUUUAAGCCUCAUGAGGUGUGCAGAGAGUGUGUCAUUGUAACCUGCCCUGAUUUCCCCUGCUACAGCAGCAGUAAGACUCAUAAUAGAGAUGUUCCUGUAAGGAAGCCCCAAAGCGAGGGACUGCUCACCAGGCUGGCACAGUUAUCUCUUCACCUUGGAAGAAGGACAGGUUUUGUACUAAAUGAGAAUGGAAGUACUGCAUCAGUUCUGAUUAAACAGUACCUGCACACCAGACAAAAAUGUCAGGCAGAACAUUUUCAACGUAGCAAGAGGAGAGCUGUUAGAAAAC